CGCGACGUUUGAAACAGGCCUAAGCCUUUUGCAUAUCAUUCAUUCGAUCACAUUUGCCAGGAGAAGAAAAAUCGCCGACAGAAUGGCUAGUGUGAACCAGGCUUUAAGAAGAGCAACAUGACUUGACAUGGUAAGCGAAUUUUGUAUAGAGGGAACGGUAUAUAGCCUGAACCUGUUAUGUCCAUGCAAGAUGGUGGCUCGCUAGCGUUUAUGACGUGAGCUAUAACAAUAAAGUUCCCGUUAUAUUAGACUUCAAAUGUGCUUCCUGCAUGUAUGUCUAUAAGGGUUUGAAUCUAAUAUAACUGGAACUUUAUAGUUUUCCAUAUUAACAGGAAACGAAUACUUAUCAAUUUUUUCUUUUUCAUAAAGGCGCAGGCACAGGGCUGGAUAGAUUUGGGAACGUGAUGAAAUUUGAACGCACGAUUUUGUUAAUGUAGGCGCUUUCUGAACUCCAACCCUUCCCAGCAAAGAAAUACGUAUUGUUGCGAG